rnacentral:rRNA from 1 species
AGAGUUUGAUCCUGGCUCAGGAUGAACGCUGGCGGCGUGCUUAACACAUGCAAGUCGAACGAACCUUCGGGUUAGUGGCGGACGGGUGAGUAACGCGUGAGAAUCUGCCCUCAGGAGGGGGAUAACGGUUGGAAACGACCGCUAAUACCCCAUAUGCCUACUGGUGAAAUGAAUUUCGCCUGAGGAUGAGCUCGCGUCUGAUUAGCUUGUUGGUGAGGUAAUGGCUCACCAAGGCUUCGAUCAGUAGCUGGUCUGAGAGGAUGAUCAGCUACACUGGGACUGAGACACGGCCCAGACUCCUACGGGAGGCAGCAGUGGGGAAUUUUCCGCAAUGGGCGAAAGCCUGACGGAGCAACGCCGCGUGAGGGACGAAGGCCUCUGGGCUGUAAACCUCUUUUCUCAAGGAAGAAGAUAUGACGGUACUUGAGGAAUAAGCCACGGCUAAUUCCGUGCCAGCCGCCGCGGUAAUAC